CCUUAUCAAGAUGUUAUCCAUCUUUCAGCCUGAAAAUUUAAUCCCAAGUUAAUUAUCAUGCUAUAUCCAAUCCACGCUACAAAACGAGCCCUUAAGGAUCACUAUUUCUUGAAAUCAUAUUCUCCGCCAUUUUGGCCUGUUUUUAUUUCUUUUUUCAUUACAAAAGGCAGUGCAGAAACUGCAAUUGAAAUGAAUUGAGUUGAGCAAAAAGAAAAACUGAUUUCGACGCAAUAUUUAAAUGUAGGAAAAGUCAGGCGAAGAAAGUAGUUUGUAUUCCAGCAGCAGCACCAGCGAACAGCAGAGCUACUGGAGAAGUUGUUCCAUCGGAUCUUUGGGCUUGGCGGAAGUACGGACAGAAGCCAAUCAAGGGUUCGCCUUUUCCGAGGGUCUAUUACAGAGGCAGUAGCUCGAAGGGGUGCUCGGCUAGGAAACAAGUGGAGCGGAGCCGAACCGAGCCGAAUAUGCUCGUGAUUACCUACACCUCGGAGCACAACCAUCCGUGGCCGACGCAGCGCAACGCCCUCGCCGGCUCCACCCGAUCUCAACCACCCAAGACCACCAAGGACUCAGAAAAAGACACAAACCCCAAAAAUCACGACAACAAAGAAACCUCCUUAGACAACUACGGAGCCGUCAAAGAAGAGGUUGAAGCUGAAUUCGACGAAUCAUACAAGCCGGCGACGGCGAGCCACGAUCAAGACAGUUUCUUUGCCGAUUUGGGGGAAAUCGGAGAUGAUCCAUUGAGUUUAUUCGGACAAGGGUUUCCACCACGUGAUGAUGGCAAUAGUCAUACUGAUUUGGAUCCGUUUUAGUUCUAUAAAUCAGCACCACGGCGGAGGCGGUGGAGGAUUUGCCCGGGAAAUCCUGAAAUGGUUCCUUUGAUAAUUCUGUACAAUAUUUAGAGGGUGUUUUAUGAGGUUUGGCCUUAAUUGCAUGGGAAACUUUGAUUUUUUAAUGAUUGAUUUAAUUAAUGCA